AGGACACUUGGCCUACUGGCUUUUACUUAUACGGCAAGACUAAGGUGCUUGAUGAUUUGGCACGUCACACGUGUGUCUCGCCGCUGAGCAGUUACUACAUAGCGGUGCCUCCACCAGCAUAAUAAAGGCAGAAUUGAAAAAUGGAUUGGCAAGGCAUGUUAAUCUUGGUUUAGAUCAUUGAUUUGUUCGGCAUAGAAGAAUUCUGGAUAUUAUGACAAAGCAGCUUAUAAGUAAAGGACAUAUAUCUGAGGGUCUCUACAUUUUGGAUGCAUGGGUACCUCAGUCUGUUGCCUGCUCCAGUGUCGUGUCUCCGUUUGAAGCACAUUGUCGGUUGGGACACCCUUCAUCACUGGUUUUGAAGAAGCUAUGCCCUCAGUUUCACAAGGAAGGAUGCCGGAGCGCCGGCGAAGCUUCCUUGAAGAGCCGACGGGCGUUCGGCUGGCGAGUUGGCCUCACGCGCCGCGACGGCAACCUGUCGCAGUUCCACGGGCUGACGCAUGAAGGCGCAAUGCUGCUCCGGUCACCAUCGCCGGAGUCGCCGCACCGUCCCUUGUCAAAUCUGUGGUUUGUUUGUCGUUCGGGUGUUGGGUGGAGGUGCUUUUAGUACUGUUCAUAUUCGGAACUGUUCACCGGGUACUGUUCACUUCUGAUUCUGUGUUUAUUUUUAUUGUUUUGGGUUGGUUGUCCUUAUGGCUGAAGUUAAAACCACCAUAACUGAUGUGAUUCAUGUGAUGACUAAAAUCACAGAACACAUUGAAUGGAUCUAAUUUUUUGGAUUGGAGUAAAACUAUCCGUAUUUAUUUACGAAGUAUUGAAAUGGAUGAUCAUUUUACCAAGGAUCCUCCAACUGAUGAAACUCGUAGAAAUUGGAUGAGGGAUGAUGCUCGAUUGUUCUUGCAGAUCCAAAAUUCUAUUCAUAAUGAGGUGAUUAGUCUUAUUAAUUACUGUAAAUUUAUUAAAGAGUUAAUGGAGUAUUUGGAAUUUCAAUAUUCUGGCAAAGGGAAUAUUUUCCGUAUUUAUGAUGUAUGAAAGGCGUUUUACCGAGCUAAGAAAAAUGAUAAAACUUUGAUAUCCUAUUUUAUAGAUUUUAAAAGAGUUUACGAAGAACUUAAUGUAUUGAUACCUUUUAGUACAAAUGUGAAAACUCAACAAGCUCAACGAGAGUAAAUGGCUGUUAUGAGCUUUCUUGCAGGUCUCUCUCCAGAGUUUGAGACAGCUAAAUCUCAGAUUCUUUUUGACUCUGAAAUAUCAUUAUUACAUGAUGUGUUCACUAGGGUGUUGCAUACAGAGUCUCCAAUUCUUUCACACCCCACUAGUACCCUUGUUAGUCGCAAUGACAGUGGUAAACAGAAUAACAGAAAUGGAUAAAGGGAAGGUUUUAAUGGUGGUAAAGGAUCUCAGCGUUCUAAGGAAAUAGGUCCUACUUCUGACUCGGGAGGAAUUAUUUGUUAUUAUUGCUGUGAACCUGGACAUACUAGAAGACAUGUCAGAAACUACAUAAUAAGAAUCAUUGCACACAAAUGGCGCAUAUGACAGUUGAAGCCUCUUCAGAUCAGGGAAUUUUGAUAUCUGCAGAUGAGUAUGCACAAUUCAUCCAAUACUAGGCAUCUCUGAAAUCCUCUAACUCCUCUGUCACUACAAUUGCCAAGUCAGGUAACUCUACUGAAUGUCUUGUGUCUUCAUCCUCCAAAUGGGUUAUUGAUUCUGGUGCUACCGAUCAUAUGUCAGGUAAUUAUACCCUUUUGUCCAAUUUUGAGUCUCAUGCAUCGUCUUUUUAUGUUACUUUUGCUGAUGGCACUAAAUCUUCUGUCAUGGGUUCUGGUUAUUGUCAACUUAACCCCUUCUCUUUCUUUAUCCUCUGUGUUAUCUCCCUAAGUUUGCGUUUAAUUUGCUUUCCGUUAGUAAACUCACUCGUGCAUUGAAUUAUUGUGUCUCAUUCUUUCCUAAUCACUGUGUUUUUCAGAAUCUUUCGACGAAGCAGAUUAUUGGUAGAGGGCGUGAGUUAGAGGGUCUUUAUGUCUUGGAUCAACAAUUACCUAGAUCACUUGCAUGUUUCACGCGUUUAACACCUUUUGAUGUUAAUUGUCGUUUGGGGCAUCCUUCUCUCUCGGCUUUGAAGAAGUUAUAUCCAUAGUUUCAUUCUUUGUCUGUUUUAGAUUGUGAGUCUUGUCAAUUUGCCAAAUAUUAUCGUUUACUUACAGUGUCUUGAGUCAAUAAACGGGCUUCGUCCCCCUUGAGUUAGUACAUUCAGAUGUUUGGGGUCCUUGUCCUAUUAUGUCUGUUGAAUCCCACAUCAGUUGUG